GUCAUGACUCAAUUGUAGAGCAUCUGUUUUGCAUACAAAAGGUCCCAGGUUCAAUCCCCAGCAUAUCCA
rnacentral:tRNA from 1 species